rnacentral:rRNA from 1 species
UCAGGAUGAACGCUAGCUACAGGCUUAACACAUGCAAGUCGAGGGGCAGCAUGGUCUUAGCUUGCUAAGGCCGAUGGCGACCGGCGCACGGGUGAGUAACACGUAUCCAACCUGCCGUCUACUCUUGGACAGCCUUCUGAAAGGAAGAUUAAUACAAGAUGGCAUCAUGAGUCCGCAUGUUCACAUGAUUAAAGGUAUUCCGGUAGACGAUGGGGAUGCGUUCCAUUAGAUAGUAGGCGGGGUAACGGCCCACCUAGUCUUCGAUGGAUAGGGGUUCUGAGAGGAAGGUCCCCCACAUUGGAACUGAGACACGGUCCAAACUCCUACGGGAGGCAGCAGUGAGGAAUAUUGGUCAAUGGGCGAGAGCCUGAACCAGCCAAGUAGCGUGAAGGAUGACUGCCCUAUGGGUUGUAAACUUCUUUUAUAAAGGAAUAAAGUCGGGUAUGGAUACCCGUUUGCAUGUACUUUAUGAAUAAGGAUCGGCUAACUCCGUGCCAGCAGCCGCGGUAAUACGGAGGAUCCGAGCGUUAUCCGGAUUUAUUGGGUUUAAAGGGAGCGUAGAUGGAUGUUUAAGUCAGUUGUGAAAGUUUGCGGCUCAACCGUAAAAUUGCAGUUGAUACUGGAUAUCUUGAGUGCAGUUGAGGCAGGCGGAAUUCGUGGUGUAGCGGUGAAAUGCUUAGAUAUCACGAAGAACUCCGAUUGCGAAGGCAGCCUGCUAAGCUGCAACUGACAUUGAGGCUCGAAAGUGUGGGUAUCAAACAGGAUUAGAUACCCUGGUAGUCCACACGGUAAACGAUGAAUACUCGCUGUUUGCGAUAUACUGCAAGCGGCCAAGCGAAAGCGUUAAGUAUUCCACCUGGGGAGUACGCCGGCAACGGUGAAACUCAAAGGAAUUGACGGGGGCCCGCACAAGCGGAGGAACAUGUGGUUUAAUUCGAUGAUACGCGAGGAACCUUACCCGGGCUUAAAUUGCAGAUGAAUUACGGUGAAAGCCGUAAGCCGCAAGGCAUGUGUGAAGGUGCUGCAUGGUUGUCGUCAGCUCGUGCCGUGAGGUGUCGGCUUAAGUGCCAUAACGAGCGCAACCCUUGUUGUCAGUUACUAACAGGUUCCGCUGAGGACUCUGACAAGACUGCCAUCGUAAGAUGUGAGGAAGGUGGGGAUGACGUCAAGUCAGCACGGCCCUUACGUCCGGGGCUACACACGUGUUACAAUGGGGGGUACAGAGGGCCGCUACCACGCGAGUGGAUGCCAAUCCCCAAAACCUCUCUCAGUUCGGACUGGAGUCUGCAACCCGACUCCACGAAGCUGGAUUCGCUAGUAAUCGCGAAUCAGCCACGGCGCGGUGAAUACGUUCCCGGGC